GUCGAGGAUUUUUCACAAUGGGCGAAAGCCUGAUGGAGCGACGCCGCGUGGGGGAUGAAUGGCUUCGGCCCGUAAACCCCUGUCAUUUGCGAGCAAAGCCGUCGGCCUAAUACGCUGACGGUUGAUAGUAGCGAAAGAGGAAGGGACGGCUAACUCUGUGCCAGCAGCCGCGGUAAUACAGAGGUCCCAAGCGUUGUUCGGAUUCACUGGGCAUAAAGGGUGCGUAGGUGGCAGGGUAAGUUCGGUGUGAAAUCCCCGAGCUCAACUCGGGAAUGGCAUUGAAUACUAUCCUGCUGGAGGAUCGGAGGGGAGACUGGAAUUCUCGGUGUAGCAGUGAAAUGCGUAGAUAUCGAGAGGAACACCAGUGGCGAAGGCGAGUCUCUGGACGAUUCCUGACACUGAGGCACGAAAGCUAGGGGAGCAAACAGGAUUAGAUACCCCUGUAGUCC
rnacentral:rRNA from 1 species